AUUUAGCGUUAAGGAUUGAAGUGGAUACCGGCCUAGAGCCUAAGGCUUGUAGGCGUAUGAACGGAAAGCCUGGCCCGAG
rnacentral:sRNA from 1 species